rnacentral:rRNA from 1 species
AGAGUUUGAUCAUGGCUCAGGACGAACGCUGGCGGCGUGCUUAACACAUGCAAGUCGAACGGUGAACCUUGGAGCUUGCUUCGAGGGGAUCAGUGGCGAACGGGUGAGUAACACGUGAGUAACCUGCCCCGGACUCUGGAAUGAGCGCUGGAAACGGCGUCUAAUACCGGAUACGAGACGCAACCGCAUGGUUAGUGUCUGGAAAGUUUUUCGGUCUGGGAUGGACUCGCGGCCUAUCAGCUUGUUGGUGAGGUAAUGGCUCACCAAGGCGACGACGGGUAGCCGGCCUGAGAGGGCGACCGGCCACACUGGGACUGAGACACGGCCCAGACUCCUACGGGAGGCAGCAGUGGGGAAUAUUGCACAAUGGGCGAAAGCCUGAUGCAGCGACGCCGCGUGAGGGAUGACGGCCUUCGGGUUGUAAACCUCUUUCAGCAGGGAAGAAGCGAAAGUGACGGUACCUGCAGAAGAAGCACCGGCUAACUACGUGCCAGCAGCCGCGGUAAUACGUAGGGUGCGAGCGUUGUCCGGAAUUAUUGGGCGUAAAGAGCUUGUAGGCGGUUUGUCGCGUCUGCUGUGAAAAUCCGGGGCUCAACCCCGGACUUGCAGUGGGUACGGGCAGACUAGAGUGUGGUAGGGGAGACUGGAAUUCCUGGUGUAGCGGUGAAAUGCGCAGAUAUCAGGAGGAACACCGAUGGCGAAGGCAGGUCUCUGGGCCACUACUGACGCUGAGAAGCGAAAGCAUGGGGAGCGAACAGGAUUAGAUACCCCGGUAGUCC